AGAAGGCAGUUAUGUUGUUCUGCUUGGUGUUGAUCAGGCAUUGAAUGUAACAGAGAUGGAAGAAUAAUUCUUCCUGAAGGCAGCAAGACCAAAAGGAAGCUUAGAAAAUGUGAUUUGCGGAGGAACUGGAUUUAUGUUAUAACCCUUGCCCAGACUUUCUUGUAGAUGUCUCUGACUGCAUAGUGAUUUACUGGAAAAGGUGAUUAAUGACCCAAGGCAUGAUGAAAAGACCAUGCCAGAGCAGAUAUCCACCUGCAGCCCGUGGAGGACCCAAUGCCAGAGCAAGUGGAUGCACCCAGAAGGAAGGUGCAGCCCAUGGAGAGUUCAAACAGAAGCAGACCCCUGGCAAGAGCUGUGGCCCAUGGAGAGGAGUCUACACUGGAGCAGUCUGCUCUCAAAGGACUGCACCCUCUGGAAAAGGACCCAUGCCAGAGCAGUUCUUGAAGAACUGCAGCCUGUGAGAAGGACCCAUGUUGGAGAAGUUUGUGAAAGACUGUAUCCCAUGGGAGGGACCCCCUGCUGGAGCUGGGGAACAGAGAGAGAAGGAAGGACCAGCAGAGAGGAGCUGAUAUGAACUGACUGUAGCCCCUGUUCCUCAUCUGCCUACAAUGCUCAGUGGAGAGAAGGUAGAAGAGUCACGAGCAAAGCAGUGAAGCUUUGCUUGGGAAGAAGAGAGGAUUGGAGGGAAAGUCAUUUUAGCUUUGUCCUUGUUUCUCAUCAUCUUACUCUAUUUUUAAGUGACAGUACAUUAAUUUUCCCUAAGCCGAGUCUGUUUUGCCCAUGACAGUAGUUGGUGAGUGUCUUUAUCUUGACUCAUGAGCUUUUCCAUCCUAUUUUCUCCCUCUGCCUUGAGGAGAGGGAGUGCUGGAGCAGCCGGGUGAUGGUCUGGCAGCCGGCCAGGCUUAGCCCAGCACACACACCUACCAACCAACAGAUUACAGCUCCCCCUGUACAUCACAUCUGAGAGCAGCACGUUUCUCCGAGCCGCUGGCUGUGCUCUGUAAGUGUUACAGAAUAACUGCCAGCAUCAUUUUAUUUAGUAAUACUCGGCAAUUAGAGGCACAAAUGGGCAAGAAGGAUGACAGGUAUUCUUUGAAGGUCUUUGAAUAUCAGCUUUCUUAAAGCACAAGAGGAAGAUGCAAGAGCUGUUUAUCAUUUGCUCCACUUCAGUUAUUUUUCUCAUUAUUUUGCUGAAUUCAGAACAGGAACAGCAGGAACAGCUCAGGAGCAGAAUGCUGAAGAAUAGACCUAGCACAUAUGAUAUGACUAGGCAUUCUCUAUCCUAUGGCUUGUUUUUCUUCUGAAAGUGAUGCCUUUGUUCCAGUAAGAUAAAGAAAUGAGAAUAGAUCUAACCAGUCAAAGGCAAGGGACACUGUAUUUAGAAUGUAUUACUGACUUUUUACAUCUAUGAUAAAGCAUUAUUAUGUGUUAACAUCUUUUAGACCAAUUAUAGCCCUAACUUGGGAUUUGUGUGCCUGAGUGGAAAAGACCUUAUUUCCCAAGUAGACCAAAGAAGCAUUAUAGAAUAUAUUUUACUUUUCCAAAGCCAUUAGCAAAACAAUGUGCAAGGCAAUUUAGUGGGAAUUGCUAGGGAUCAAAAUUUAAAAAAUAAAUACCUUAAAGCAAACAAAUUCCACGAGUUUAUGCAUUUUUUUUUUAACCAGAAAUUGGCUGAUUUCUAUUUAAAGUGGAUCCAGAUCUCUUUAUUUAAAAUGUAUUGAAUGUAUUGAAAAUGUAUGGAAACUUCCUCCUGCAAAUCAAAAUACACCACAGAUGGCUCAGGAACAAUGUGUGAUCUCUAUAUUGAAUUCUUAGUUACUGUUUGGUUUACUUAGGUACAUGGAUAAACUCUGAAGUCAGAGAACCAGAAAUACAUUGUCUUAUUGUGGCUAUUCAUAUGGCUAUGAAAGCUCAGCAAUUUGAAUGAUUUCUGAGAAAACUGUUUUAUUUGUCAAGAUUUCUGAAAACAGUCAUGUGUGGUAAACAACCUUCAGUGACCUUAUUGUGCAAACAUCAAAGUGUACCAAGACUGCCUGUUCACAUGUUCAUAACUCUUCAUUUACUUCUGUUAAAUGACAUUAAAUAAUAUGUUAAAAUGUACAGAACACAGUGUUUUAAAUGUUAUUCAAGCAGUCACCAUGACACUGUUGUAAGACUGUAAAUUAUGAGAGCUUGUGUCCAAAUACUCCUACAAUAUGCGUGUUUGAAGAUGACAGAUUUUAUGAUGUAUAAACAUUUAAGUGAAAAUAAGAACUGUUUUAAAAAAUAUUUGUUUCAAAACAUCUAGCCUUUGAAUUUUUUUGUUGUGUGCUGUGCAUAAAACCAUCUUAGUCUUUUAUAAUUUAGAAAUGCUGCAGUAUCAGCUAUUAAAAGCAAGCAUACUAUUAUCCCUUUCUGGAAUGCAAGACCUUAAUUGCAUGAAAUUUAAAUAAAACGUGUGGCUCUUUGCCAUGACCAGAGCACUUAUCUUUUAAUCUAUUACUUGCUUUACUGAGGUGAAAAUAACCAUUGUAGGACUGCAAAGUAUUCCUAACAUUGUUCAUAAUACAGCUGAUAUAAAAUGCCAUACCAUUAGAUGUUGAAUUAAACACUGGCAAGAACAUUCCAUGGAGGCACUUAAAUUUCAGUGAUCUUGUUUUUUUCUUGCUGUUCAGAAAAAACACAAACACACGUUAUUUUUAAGAUGGGGCAAAUAUCAGAAGACAGCUGAGCUGAAGGCUCAGUGCCAACAGAUGAAGGGGUCCAGCCCCUCUCCCCUCAAUUUCCUACUUCAACAGCACAGCCCUGCUUUCCCUGGCAGAGGCUCCAGUUCUCCACUGACUUCUGAUCCCCGAGGAUGUCUCACUAAAUCAUCAGCAACAAAAACUGAGUAACUUUCUGCUAGUUUUCUGCACUGACUUGCUAAGAGAUCACACAGACAGCUGAGCCAGGAAGAACAUAAUUGAAGAAUACAGCAAAAGGUACUGAAUAGAGGGUUUCACCUUUCAGUGGCUGCAAACUAUUAGACAAAUGCAGCCUUUUAGCCAAACAUGAGCUCAUUUCCCUCAGGUAUAAAAAUAAUUUCUUUAAAUGAUCUUUUUUCAUAGUAAUUUUUUUUUAUCUAUAGCUGUGCUGUGAACUGCUGUUAGGCAGCAAGAAAUCUUAAUGAUUCUUGCCAGUCAGUCUUGCUUUAAGGCAAUGAGCACUUAUUCCAGCUAAAAGGGAAGAGACAUCCCUUUUUGUCAUUCUGUCUGAAACAAUAAAAACCUUUGUCUAAAUUAUUGUUCAACAGAGCACAGAAAAGCAUGAAAAGAAAUAAUUUUUUGGCUAAUAGGCUUGUCUGAACUAGAAAUACCAGGACUAGCAGUUGUCUUAGUGAGCUAAGAGAGGGACAGGUAGCAGAGAUGUGAUUGUUCCUGUUGGGAGGAAUGGGUUAAAAAGUGGAGAACUGAUGAGAAAGACUGUAAAUCUCGGAAGUGACCUGGCAGCUGGGAAUAACUCUUGAUAAGCCCAUGUGAACAGCAGGCCAGUGAUCCUCUAGCAUGGACAGAUUUUAAUAGUACCUGAGUUUCCUCUUGUGUACCUCUGCCAGGGUGUUGCUUCAGGGAUUCUGUGGUUAGCAAGGUAGUGGAAAUAAAUUUACUCUCUACAUUCUAACUGUGAGUUUGUGGACAUCACAGCUGCCUGCCUGUGUCAACUCACAGAGUGCCCUAAGAGCUCUAAAGAACAGAGCUUACUUUGGAAAACAUGCUUUCUACAAAGACAAAACUGUAUGUCUGCAUAGAAAAGUUCCUAUAGAAAUAUAGUUCUUUCUGUAGUGUUGUACUGUGUUUGCAUGGCAAGGUUUUGGUAGCAGGGGGUGGGGGCAGGGAUUACAGGGGUGGCUUCUGUGAGAAGCUGCCAGGAGCUUUCCCCAUGUCUGACAGAGCCAGUGCCAGCUGGCUCCAGGACAGACCUGCAGCUGGCCAAGACUGAGUCUGUCAGGGGUGGUGGUAGUGCCUCUGGAAUAACAGAUUUGAGAAGAGGAAAGAAGUUAUUGUGCAGAAGCAAAUUGCAGCCAGAGAAGAGAGAAUAUGUGAGAACAGCAGACCUGCAGACACCAAGGUUGGUGGAACAGGAGGGGCAGAAGAUGCUCCAGGUGCCAGAGCUGAGAUUCCCCUGCCUGUGGUGUGGACCAUGGUGAGGCAGCUGUGCCCCUGCAGCCCAUAGAGGUCCAUGAAGGAGCAGAGAUCCAUCUGCAGCCUGUGGAGGACCCCAUGGCAGAGCAGGUGAAUACCAAAAGAAGGCUUUGACCCCAUGGAAAGCCCACAUUGGAGUAGGUUUUCUGGCAGAAUUCAUGACCCCAUGGGAGACCCAUGCUACAGCAGUUCAUGAAGAACCAUAGCCUGUGGGAAGGACUCACAUUGGAGAAGUUCAUGGAGGACUGUCUUCUGUGGGAGGGGCUCCACACUUGAGCAGAGGAAGAGUGUGAGGAGUCCUUCCCGUAAGAAGGAAGAAGUGGCAGAGACAACGUGCAAUGAACAGACCACAGCCCCCAUUCCGUGCCUCUGGUGCCUCUGGUGAAGGGAGAAGAUACAGAAAUUUGGAGCGAAGUUAAGUCUGGGAAGAAGGGAUUGAUGGGAGGAAGACAUUUUAAAGAUUUGGUUUUAUUUCUCAUUAUUGUACUCUGAGCUGAUUGCUAAUAAAUUAAACUAAUUUCCCUCAGUAAA